UACGUAGGUGGCAAGCGUUGUCCGGAAUUAUUGGGCGUAAGCGCGCGCAGGCGGUCCUUUAAGUCUGAUGUGAAAGCCCACGGCUCAACCGUGGAGGGUCAUUGGAAACUGGGGGACUUGAGUGCAGAAGAGGAAAGCGGAAUUCCACGUGUAGCGGUGGAAAUGCGUAGGAGAUGUGGAGGAACACCAGUGGCGAAGGCGGCUUCUGGUCUGUAACUGACGCUGAGGCGCGAAAGCGUGGGGAGCAAACAGG
rnacentral:rRNA from 1 species